CGGAGGGUGCAAGCGUUAUCCGGAUUUACUGGGUUUAAAGGGUGCGUAGGUGGGCAGGUAAGUCAGUGGUGAAAUCUCCGGGCUUAACCCGGAAACUGCCAUUGAUACUAUCUGUCUUGAAUAUCCUGGAGGUGAGCGGAAUAUGUCAUGUAGCGGUGAAAUGCUUAGAUAUGACAUAGAACACCAAUUGCGAAGGCAGCUCGCUACGGGAUUAUUGACACUGAGGCACGAAAGCGUGGGGAUCAAACAGGAUUAGAUACCCUGGUAGUCCACGCCCUAAACGAUGGAUACUCGACAUACGCGAUACACUGUGUGUGUCUGAGCGAAAGCAUUAAGUAUCCCACCUGGGAAGUACGAUCGCAAGAUUG
rnacentral:rRNA from 1 species